rnacentral:lncRNA from 10 species
GAAGCUCGAGGAAGAGAAAAAACAACUGGAAGGAGAAAUCAUAGAUUUUUAUAAAAUGAAAGCUGCCUCUGAAGCACUGCAGACUCAGCUGAGCACUGAUACAAAGAAAGACAAACAUCUAACAAUUUGGACAAGACAGCAAAUGCUAUUGUCCAAGUUUUCUAAAGAAGAAUCUGAAGUGAAAUGACAUCAAGAGACCUAUCAAGACCUGUAUCCAGGAAAAGAGUCUUGCUCUUGUUGCCCAGGCUGGAGUGCAAUGGCGUGAUUUUGGCUCACUGUAAACUCCACCUCCUGGGUUCAAGCGAUUCUCCUGCCUCAGCCUCCCUAGUAGCUGGUAUUACAGGUGCCUGCCACCACACCCAGCUAAUUUUUGUAUUUUUAGUAGAGAUGGGGGUUUCACCAUGUUGGCCAGCCUGGUCCCGAACUCCUGACCUUAGGUGAUCCACCAGCAUCGGCCUCCCAAAGUGCUGGGAUUACAGGUGUGAGCCACUGCGUCCAGCCAGUGGUGGGUCUCAUAUCUCAAUGUGGGCUUUUACUAACUCCCGAUGCCUCAGUUUCCUCAUCAGUUGAAAGGAAUGAAUGAAAGAUAUGUGUUUUUCAUAUUACCAGGUAGAUGAUAAGGAGAUUUU